CAUAUCAUUUUGAAACACCGGUUCUUGUAAGAGCAUCGAAGUUAAACAACGUCGAGCGUGGUCAGUACUUGGAUGGGUGACCGCUUGGGAAUGCCAGAUAUUGUAAG